GAUGAACGCUGGCGGCGUGCCUAAUACAUGCAAGUCGAGCGAACGGACGAGAAGCUUGCUUUUCUGAUGUUAGCGGCGGACGGGUGAGUAACACGUGGAUAACCUACCUAUAAGACUGGGAUAACUUCGGGAAACCGGAGCUAAUACCGGAUAAUAUUUUGAACCGCAUGGUUCAAAAGUGAAAGACGGUCUUGCUGUCACUUAUAGAUGGAUCCGCGCUGCAUUAGCUAGUUGGUAAGGUAACGGCUUACCAAGGCAACGAUGCAUAGCCGACCUGAGAGGGUGAUCGGCCACACUGGAACUGAGACGCGGUCCAGACUCCUACGGGAGGCAGCAGUAGGGAAUCUUCCGCAAUGGGCGAAAGCCUGACGGAGCAACGCCGCGUGAGUGAUGAAGGUCUUCGGAUCGUAAAACUCUGUUAUUAGGGAAGAACAUAUGUGUAAGUAACUGUGCACAUCUCGACGGUACCUAAUCAGAAAGCCACGGCUAACUACGUG
rnacentral:rRNA from 1 species